UGAAGAGGGAAGAGCCCAAGAUUGAAAGCUGGCGUCUUCGGCGUCCGCAUUGUAAUCUCAAGAAGUGUUUUCCGCUUCGGACCAAGCCUAAGUCCCUUGGAAAAGGGCAUCAUAGAGGGUGAUAAUCCCGUACAUGGCUUGGAGCGCCCGAGGCUUUGUGAUACGCUUUCUAAGAGUCGAGUUGUUUGGGAAUGCAGCUCAAAAUGGGUGGUAAAUGCCAUCUAAGGCUAAAUAUUGGGGAGAGACCGAUAGCGAACAAGUACAGUGAUGGAAAGAUGAAAAGAACUUUGAAAAGAGAGUUAAACAGUACGUGAAAUUGCCAAAAGGGAAGGGUAGGAGGUCAGAGAUGCGGUCUGGGAUUCAGCCUUGCUUUUUCGCUUGGUGUUUUUCCCAGAUGGCAGGCCAACGUCGGUUUUGGGCACUGGAGAAGGGUAGGAGGAACGUGGCACCUCUCGGGGUGUGUUAUAGCCUCCUACUGGAUACAGCGACCGAGACCGAGGAACGCAGCGUACUCGCAAGAGCGGGCCCUCGGGCACCUUUACGCUUAGGGCGUUGGCAUAAUGGCCCUCUACCACCCGUCUUGAAACACGGACCAAGGAGUCUAACAUGUAUGCGAGUCUUUGGGUGGCAAACCCAUAGGCGCAAUGAAAGUGAAUUCAGGUGGGAUCCGCAAGGUGCACCAUCGACCGAUCCUCACGUCUUUUAAGUCGUGGAUUUGAGUAAGAGCAUACCUGUUGGGACCCGAAAGAUGGUGAACUAUGCCUGAAUAGGGUGAAGCCAGAGGAAACUCUGGUGGAGGCUCGUAGCGGUUCUGACGUGCAAAUCGAUCGUCAAAUUUGGGUAUAGGGGCGAAAGACUAAUCGAACCAUUGUAACAAUGUAUGCUAGGUGGUUAAGAGGUGGCAUGAAAGUGCGCACCUAGUGGACGCUGAAGUUCGCGACACUGUCAAAAUGCGGGGACACCCUAAAGCUUUCAAUACCAAGCCGGCGUGGAAACACAGUCGGUGGCCGAGCUAAUAGCCCUGGGUAUGGUAAAAACUUGAAAGAUGUCACAAUGGGCAAUCCGCAGCCAAGCUCUAAGGGGUCUUCUUCUUCGCAAGAAGAUCCUAUGAGUGCAGUUCACAGACUAGAUGGCAGUGGGUUCUUCUUCUCUCUUCGCGAGAGACGAGGGGCUUAAGAUAUAGUCGGUCCUUCCGCGAAAGCGGACCGGGGGACGAAAGAUCGAGAUCCUUCAGCGAUAGAUCUCUUUCCGGAGCCUCUGGGAGUUGCAGCAAGCAGCUUUGGGUGCUACGCUAGUAGCUGGUUCCUGCCGAAGUUUCCCUCAGGAUAGCAGAAACUCACAUCAGUUUUAUGAGGUAAAGCGAAUGAUUAGAGGCCUUGGGGAAGUAACUUCCUUAACCUAUUCUCAAACUUUAAAUGUGUAAGAAGCCCUUGUUACUUAA
rnacentral:rRNA from 1 species